rnacentral:rRNA from 1 species
UGAGGAAUAUUGGACAAUGGAGGCAACUCUGAUCCAGCCAUGCCGCGUGCAGGAAGACUGCCCUAUGGGUUGUAAACUGCUUUUAUACGGGAAGAAACACCCCCACGUGUGGGGGCUUGACGGUACCGUAAGAAUAAGCACCGGCUAACUCCGUGCCAGCAGCCGCGGUAAUACGGAGGGUGCAAGCGUUAUCCGGAAUCAUUGGGUUUAAAGGGUCCGUAGGCGGACAAUUAAGUCAGAGGUGAAAGUCUGCAGCUCAACUGUAGAAUUGCCUUUGAUACUGGUUGUCUUGAAUUAUUGUGAAGUGGUUAGAAUAAGUAGUGUAGCGGUGAAAUGCAUAGAUAUUACUUAGAAUACCAAUUGCGAAGGCAGAUCACUAACAAUAUAUUGACGCUGAGGGACGAAAGCGUGGGGAGCGAACAGG